AUGCAGUGGGGAGGAGCAAGGUUUGAAGGGAGAAAAAUGAAAGCGACCAGAAGAACAGCUAGCAGCAUCAUUUACAGAGAAAACAGCCCAUUUUCUAUCUUUCUCUCUUGUCCCUUGUUCCACAAAGUUCUUUGGAACUGUACAAUACAGCUGUGCUACAAAAAUCUGAAAAAUACAGAAUUCAAUUACAAAAUUUGGUUACAACUGAGCAUCUGCAGUAAUGAGGAUCUUGAGAGUUUAACUAAGAAUCAACUAGUGAACAGGGUGUCUGCAAUUCAUCAAAGGGUUAAUCAGGGCCAUGCAAGUCUUUUGUGAUAUUGUAGAAUGGUGCAUAUACUAAGAGGUGUAAGCAAGGACCAAACACCUGAUGCUGAUACAAGCUGACAUUUUUAUGUGAGCUUAGGAUGCAGAUAAAGUAACUAAUCAGUUAAAAAGAUCACAAAAGAUUCCUAAUGUGAAUUUAAAGGUAAUAGGAGAAUGUGCAAGAUAAUGUCUGAGGAAGCAGUUGACUACAUUUCAGCAGAGAACACAGAUUGAACUCAUUGUCUUCAGGCUUUUGGGGGAGUGAGUGCCAUUGUCACUGGUGCAUGCCUGAAAUUAUCUCAGCAGCCUGGAUAAAGACAUAUUUGUGGUGAACCUGUGCUGUAUCUUCUUGGAUGCUUGAACUUGUCUGAGAGUAUUCAAGAGUUGGUCCUGGAAGCAGGCUCUGGAGCCAUCAGCUGUGACCACGAGGAGAGAACAUCUACCCUACGUGACAGCAGUCCCAGAUGUGGCAGAGGAAUGGGAAAUUUGGUAAGUGAAAACUCAGGGCAGCAAUCUGUAUUUUAAUAGACAAUGAGUUAUGCAGGUCAGGGAAAAUUAUGUUGUAAUUAUCACCAUAGGUUUUUUUAUCAUUACAUGGAGAUUGUUAUGAAAAUAGCUGGGAUUCAUAUAUUCUAAAGAUCAAAAGUGUCCUGAACUAUUUUAGGACGCAUUAGGAUAAAUCCUCGGUAACCAUGGAAGAAUUCACUAAUGGUCUUCUUUUGACAGACAGUGUCUUAAGUUGG
rnacentral:lncRNA from 1 species